rnacentral:rRNA from 1 species
ACGUCUACGAGUUUGAUCCUGGCUCAGGAUGAACGCUAGCGGCAGGCUUAACACAUGCAAGUCGAGGGGCAGCGCGAUGUAGCAAUACAUUGGCGGCGACCGGCGCACGGGUGCGUAACACGUAUGGAACUUACCCUUUACUGGGAGAUAGCCCGGAGAAAUCCGGAUUAAUAUCCCAUAAUAAACGAAGUGGCAUCACUUUGUUUUGAAAGCUCCGGCGGUAAAGGAUGGCCAUGCGCACGAUUAGCUAGUAGGUGAGGUAACGGCUCACCUAGGCUACGAUCGUUAGGGGGCCUGAGAGGGUUAUCCCCCACACUGGUACUGAGACACGGACCAGACUCCUACGGGAGGCAGCAGUGAGGAAUAUUGCGCAAUGGAGGCAACUCUGACGCAGCCAUGCCGCGUGCAGGAAGAAGGCGCUACGCGUUGUAAACUGCUUUUAACCGGGAAGAAACCCUCCGACGUGUCGGAGGUUGACGGUACCGGAGGAAUAAGCACCGGCUAACUUCGUG